GCAUAGUGCCUCCAGUUGGCACCGAGAAAGGUUGAGCAGACCUGCAGCCUUAGAGGGGAAACAGUGGCUUCUCUAAGUUGCCAGUUUGGAAGGGGCUCCUCGUUUCAGAGCUGAGGUCGUGAUCAUAGAUGAGGACCGAGAGCAGAGACUCCUUCGGAAACGUAGCCUGGAUCUCGAAUGACCUGGCCCAGCGGGGAGAGACACCCUCAUCAACCAAAGGGAAUAUUUACCCCUGAGAGAAACGUUCACUGCUUUUCCCGUUCAUUGAUGACUCUGAACAAAUUCGCUGCAUGGCCGGAGGAUCGCCUCACGGACCCGGAUUGAAAUUGUCGGCCAUUUGCUGACCGAGUCAUAUUCUUGAUAUGCAGCCCAUGGAGAAGAUGGAUGUCGUCAGAAAGCCCAGAGAGGAGCAAGAAUGAAUUCAAAAAAAAUGAUGAGAAUGAUGGAAGAGAAAAAUAAAGAUUUGCAUGGAAGUGACUGAU